UACAUCGUUUAUCUUGUUUUACACCAACCUGUAAAUUGUUCAUACUGAAGGAGAUAUAGCGAGAAUGAUACUAGUAAUACAUGAUUUAUUGCACCAUAUAAUUACUCGAUUCGCUUCACAACAUUAUGGGUGUUUGCUGAUUUAUCUUAAAUGUUUGAUUCAAAAUGGACACCAGUGAUUUGAUGUGGAUACUCUGGGUUGUGUUAGAGAUAGGACUUCUCAUAUUGUUAUGGCUCUUUGUGAAAUGGUGCGCAGCUUGUAGAAGAACCACAACAAUGAUUAUGCCGUCAAAUCCUUCCCUGGAGCGAAUCCCAAUCGCCUACAAGCUGAAAUAUGACUUCUAGAAUAAACACCUAGGUAACCGAUGCAUAACAAGAGACCAUGAAGAGCACCAAUGCACUUAAAACAUGAAGGAAAUGGUCGCUGAUAUAUUAGAUCUUUAAAUAACAAACAAUAUCCAAUCAACACAUAUGAUCAAUUUAUCAACAAGCAAAUAUUUUGAAAAACGAAUGGGCGCGCCGAUAUAGUGAAAUCUGUGCCACAAUGAUUACGGUGUUGGUUCAAACAACAUCCCCACAAAUGUCAAACAUGUACAUGUAUAUCCAUGCAAGUCCAUAUACGUGUACAUGGUUUAAAAUGUAAACAUAUUUAUGUUGAUUAGUUGAAAGUCACCCAUUUAACCAUUUUUAGGAGGUAAACUCACCUUUCAUAAUGUGUAAAAAUGAUUUUGUUACCAUUUAGACAAAUUGGAAGAGAGCAUGUUUAUAUUCUUGUACGGGCAAUUAAACUCACUUUUUGAAAUUGUGCAAGCUAUGUUUCGAUUUAAAGAUGAAUAUGUCCUCUUCCGAAAAUUGCAAUUUAAAAAAAUCAUCAUUUAACUUUAAAGGAAAUGCAUCUCGCCUGAAAGCAGACACACACAGAAAAAAGGGAUUCGGUAGUGGAAUUUCGAAAAAAGGACCACACUUAACUAAUCCUAACAGUUCAUCUUUCAACGUGGUCUCGUGCGAAAUGUAUCAACAUUUUGUACGCACAUGGGAUAUAAACACUAAAGGCACAUCUGCUAUUGCUGAAUUGUUUUUAUUAUCAGAAAAUUGAAGGAUUUCUAUAACAAUGGGUACAAUAUUCGAAUCAAACACUGAGGGAUCGACCAUUAAGCAUAACAAUUCUUCCGAGUGUUUUAUGUCAGUAUUGUUUAAUCGUUCAUAAACAAAACCAUUUAUGUCUCAUA